rnacentral:rRNA from 1 species
UUUUGGACAAUGGGCGCAAGCCUGAUCCAGCCAUUCCGCGUGAGUGAAGAAGGCCUUCGGGUUGUAAAGCUCUUUCGCAAGGGACGAAAGAUUACUCUCUAAUAUAGAGUGAUUAUGACGGUACCUUGAUAAGAAGCACCGGCUAACUACGUGCCAGCAGCCGCGGUAAUACGUAGGGUGCGAGCGUUAAUCGGAAUUACUGGGCGUAAAGCGUGCGCAGGCGGUUUUGUAAGUCAGAUGUGAAAUCCCCGGGCUUAACCUGGGAAUGGCGCUUGUGACUGCAAAGCUGGAGUGCGGCAGAGGGGGAUGGAAUUCCGCGUGUAGCAGUGAAAUGCGUAGAUAUGCGGAGGAACACCGAUGGCGAAGGCAAUCCCCUGGCCUGCACUACGCUCAGCAGAAA